rnacentral:rRNA from 1 species
ACUCCUACGGGAGGCAGCAGUGGGGAAUUUUGGACAAUGGGGGCAACCCUGAUCCAGCCAUUCCGCGUGAGUGAAGAAGGCCUUCGGGUUGUAAAGCUCUUUCAGGAGGGAAGAAACGGUUUUGGUUAAUACCUGAGACUAAUGACGGUACCUUCAGAAGAAGCACCGGCUAACUACGUGCCAGCAGCCGCGGUAAUACGUAGGGUGCGAGCGUUAAUCGGAAUUACUGGGCGUAAAGGGUGCGCAGGCGGUUUUGUAAGUCAGAUGUGAAAGCCCCGGGCUUAACCUGGGAAUUGCGUUUGAAACUACAAGACUAGAGUGUGUCAGAGGGGGGUAGAAUUCCACGUGUAGCAGUGAAAUGCGUAGAGAUGUGGAGGAAUACCGAUGGCGAAGGCAGCCCCCUGGGAUAACACUGACGCUCAUGCACGAAAGCGUGGGGAGCAAACAGGAUUAGAUACCCUGGUAGUCCACGCCCUAAACGAUGUCAACUAGUUGUCGGGAGCUUUAUGCUUUUGGUAACGCAGCUAACGCGUGAAGUUGACCGCCUGGGGAGUACGGUCGCAAGAUUAAAACUCAAAUGAAUUGACGG